UUUCAUCAGCAGCAACAGGUAUGGUCGACACUUCUCCAGAUAUCAGACCUAGCAUGAAAGCAGCUGCCUCUUCUCAAAUAGAGGUAACUGUUGAUGCCUUGUCUCCUAAUUUAACUAAACUCCGUACCCGAAGAGCAGCUCCUGGUUUCUUUCUUCUUUCUUUCCUCUUUAUCUAUUCAUAUUUGGCUUAAUCAAUCAAAGGUUACCUGAUAUUUCCACUGUGUUUUCUUAAAAGAAUCAUGUUGCUGCUCAGGUAUAUUGUCACCAACUCCCUAUGUACAUCAUCUUGUUCUUCAUGUAUAAUUCGGAACAAAUAUAUUAAUUUGGUUAUAUGGUUUUUUUUAGCAUUUUGUAUGGUUUAGACUUUAGAACAAAUAUAUCAAUUUGUGGAACUUUCACAUCAGACUCAGUUACAUGCAUUCAUCAUUUGGACUUGUCUUAUCUCAUGUAUGUCUGCAUGAAUUAUCUUAAAAUCUUAUCUUUUGGUUGGUGUUGCAGAGAUUAUUUCGGUGAUGACAAAUGAUGGACGCAACAUUGUUGUAUGUUGUUUUCUCUUAAAGGUUUUCACAUGUUUUUAAAGGUUUUAACCAUGCUACAAAUAUAAUUCUAGAUAAAUCUGAUGAACAAGUGUUAUCCACAAAGGAUAUUCAUCUUUAAACAAUGGCAAGGGCUUACCAGCUAGCAUAACAAAAGAAGUGUCUAAGAAGGUGUCGUUUUGGUGUCUUUGAAGGUGAGGAUCUGAGGAGGACUUUGUUUGUUUCCAUGGUGUAUCUUACAUGGGUUCUGGUUUCUGGUUUCCAUGGUGUCGGAUAAUAAAGAAAAGUUACGGAAGUUUUCACCAAGGCAGCUGAGUACAUGGAGAUUGAUGAUGAACCUUUGCAUAAGCUCUUUAUGUCAGUUAGGAGUGAGCUAAAUUUUGACCUGAAGAACAUGAAGCAAGAGCAAGCUAAGUUUUGGAAACAGCAUCUUCGCCUUCUUGAGGAGUUAUUGAAGGUCUAAAAAAAUCUCUAGGUUCAUGUUUUUGUUGAUUGUAGUAUUUGUAAUCUUAGGUUAAGAGUUGGUUUGAGACUUAUAAUGUAUGUAGUGUAUUGUACUUGAAAUGUUUAAAAUGAUAUGUAUUGUAUUUUGAAGCUUCUAUAUAGUUUUUCUUAUA